CCCAGCUCCAACCAAGUUCUGUGUGUGCUACUGAGUCUUGGCUUUUAGAGAAAAGCAAUAGAAGAAGGCGACAUCGACAUGUUUCACUGCAGCUCCGCUCACUGUUGAGAAAAGAUGCCACUUUUCCUUCUUGAUUAUGUACUGGGGAUUACCUUCUCAGCAAGACACAACGAUAAAUUGAGACAAACAAAGGAAGGAGUGAGGCAGCUCUUCGGCUACAGACCAGAAAAAGACAACUUUGUUUUGCUGCAGCUUGAGGCAUUCCAAACAAGUCAGUUUCACUUGACUUCACAAUAAAAACAGAACGGGUAUAGUAUUUACAAGAUAGAACAACCAACCAAAGAGCAC
rnacentral:lncRNA from 1 species